rnacentral:rRNA from 1 species
UACGUAGGGACCAAGCGUUGUUCGGAUUUACUGGGCGUAAAGGGCGCGUAGGCGGCAAUUCAAGUCAUCUGUGAAAUCUCCGGGCUUAACCCGGAACGGUCAGGUGAUACUGUUUUGCUAGAGUGCGGAAGGGGCAAUCGGAAUUCUCGGUGUAGCGGUGAAAUGCGUAGAUAUCGAGAGGAACACCAGAGGUGAAGACGGCUCUCUGGACCGCCACUGACGCUGAGACACGAAAGCGUGGGUAGCAAACAGG